AUCCAAAGAGUGUCACCCCUGGCAAAAGGCUAAGUCUCAAAAACCAGAAUUCUCCGAAUCCUAGUGUGUCUCCCUCUCAAUCACAAGGUUUCUACUGCUAGUGGAAUAUCAUUUGAGGAUGGAAUAGAAAGCAUCGACAUCGGUGGCCCUGGCAUGAUCAGAGCCACUGCAAAGUUUGUUUUCUGAGACACAAUAAUGACAUUAUAUUGGAGAGAAUCACAAGGAUAUUUUGGUGGUUGUUGACUCAAGUGACUAUCCUGCACUUUUGGAAUUCUGAAAGGAAACCAAGAUGACCAGCAAUUCCGCGGGAAACUUGCUUGGAAGGCUUUCCAGCAUGUUGCUUCUUAUGAUUCUGCAGUUUCUGAGUGGCUGUAGAAGCAGACAAUUGGAGGCAAAACUUGGAUUCUUUCUUGCCUUCUGCUUUUUCUCAAUUUUUCCUGUCCAAUUAUACCUCAAACUCUUCUUUUUUUCUUUCCCUUUUCUUUGUGGACUAAGUAUGCUAAUUGUUUUACUGAUCAAAAAAGUUCAGGUAAUUAUU